UUAUCACUGUAGCAGGGGCAACAUAUGCUAAAACUUGGAACAAUUUGAGAACAGGUAUAAAUAGAAAUUGCAACAAUGUUCUAGGGCUAGGGUUAUAUCGCGCAGCUGAAGGCGAUUUGGUGACUCCAGUACAAAACAUCGGGUUUCAAAUCGACGACUCUAUUAGGCUUGAAAUUGACGAUAGUCUUUGAAGCUUUCCUACACAAUCGUCUUCUUGUCACUGUUGUGGGCUUGAAAUCGACGAUGCUCAAAUAGAUCUGAAGCUUGCCUACACAGUCGUCUUCUUCUCACUGAUUGGGUUUGAAAUCGACGACUGUGUCUGAAGAUCUAAAGAGCUCUCUCUUCAUCGCGUCUUUCUUCACUCUCGGAUUCUCUUAUCUCUUUCUCUGGCCGAUUUACGCCAACGAGAAACGCCGGCAGCCCUCUGCAACUUCCAACGAGUUCCAGUCUUCUUCACCAGCUACAGUUUACCAAGAAAAUUUCCAGAAUCUCCCCAAGCUCUCUCUCUAUUUCCUCGUUAUUUUCAUCUCGGGUCACGGAAAGGAGGUGGCGGAUGACAAUUCACCACAAGCUUGAAAGGGGACGGAAUUUCAUAUUUUUGCCGUCUUUUGUAUAUUUGGGCCCAUUCUUUUGUAAAGUCUUAAUCUUGGAAAAAUGUAUCCGUUUGUACAACUUACUGCAACUGUAACUAAGGCUUCUCUAUAGUAGUUUUGAUGUAAAUUUGAAACUAUGUAGAUAUUUGAUGUUGAA